rnacentral:rRNA from 1 species
CCUACGGGUGGCAGCAGUGAGGAAUAUUGGUCAAUGGGCGAGAGCCUGAACCAGCCAAGUCGCGUGAGGGAGUACUGCCCUAUGGGUUGUAAACCUCUUUUGUCGGGGAGCAAAAGCCGGACGUGUCCGGCUGUGAGAGUACCCGAAGAAAAAGCAUCGGCUAACUCCGUGCCAGCAGCCGCGGUAAUACGGAGGAUGCGAGCGUUAUCCGGAUUUAUUGGGUUUAAAGGGUGCGCAGGCGGAUUUUUAAGUCAGCGGUAAAAUCGUGGGGCUCAACCCCAUCCAGCCGUUGAAACUGGGGAUCUAGAGUGUGAGAGAGGUAUGCGGAAUGCGUGGUGUAGCGGUGAAAUGCAUAGAUAUCACGCAGAACCCCGAUAGCGAAGGCAGCAUACCGGUGCACAACUGACGCUCAGGCACGAAAGCGUGGGUAUCGAACAGGAUUAGAUACCCUGGUAGUC